AGAGGGUGCGAGCGUUAAUCGGAGUUACUGGGCGUAAAGGGCGCGUAGGCGGUUAUAUAAGUGAGAUGUGAAAUCCCUGGGCUUAACCUAGGAACUGCAUCUCAUACUGUAUGACUGGAGUAUUGUAGAGGGUAGUGGAAUUUCCGGUGUAGCGGUGAAAUGCGUAGAGAUCGGAAGGAACACCAGUGGCGAAGGCGGCUACCUGGACAAAUACUGACGCUGAGGCGCGAGAGCGUGGGGAGCAAACAGGAUUAGAUACCCUGGUAGUCCACGCUGUAAACGAUGAAAACUAGAUGUUGGGCAGCAUGACUGUUUAGUAUCGAAGCUAACGCGAUAAGUUUUCCGCCUGGGGAGUACGGUCGCAAGAUUA
rnacentral:rRNA from 1 species